UACGAAGGGGGCUAGCGUUGUUCGGAUUUACUGGGCGUAAAGCGCACGUAGGCGGAUCUUUAAGUCAGAGGUGAAAUCCCAAGGCUCAACCUUGGAACUGCCUUUGAUACUGGGGAUCUUGAGUCCGGGAGAGGUGAGUGGAACUGCGAGUGUAGAGGUGAAAUUCGUAGAUAUCGAGAGGAACACCGGUGGCGAAGGCGGCGAUCUGGACGAUGACUGACGCUGAGGCACGAAGGCCAGGGGAGCAAACGGG
rnacentral:rRNA from 1 species